rnacentral:tRNA from 2 species
GGGCAUGUAACUCAGUGGAUAGAGUUCCAGAUUCCGAUUCUGGUUGUCGUGGGUUCGAAUCCCUCCAUGCUCG